rnacentral:misc_RNA from 1 species
GAUGAAGAACGUAGCGAAAUGCGAUAAGUAAUGUGAAUUGCAGAAUUCAGUGAAUCAUCGAAUCUUUGAACGCACAUUGCGCCCGCCAGUAUUCUGGCGGGCAUGCCUGUCUGAGCGUCAUUUCAACCCUCAAGCAACUUCUGCUUGGUGUUGGGGAUCGGCCGUUAAACGCCGCCCCCGAAAUCUAUUGGCGAUCUCGCUGUAGCUUCCUAUGCGUAGUAGUAACAUCUCGCAUCUGGAGAGCGGCGCGGUCAUGCCGUAAAACACCCAACUUCUCAGGUUGACCUCAGAUCAGGUAGGAAUACCCGCUGAACUUAAGCAUAUAAUAAGCGGAGGA